CCUACGGGUGACAGCAGUGAGGAAUAUUGGUCAAUGGGCGCGAGCCUGAACCAGCCAAGUAGCGUGAAGGAUGACUGCCCUACGGGUUGUCAACUUCUUUUAUAAAGGAAUAAAGUGAGGCACGUGUGCCUUUUUGUAUGUACUUUAUGAAUACGGUUCGACAAACUCCGUGCCAGCAGCCGCGGUAAUACGGGGGAUGCGAGCGUUAUCCGGAUUUAUUGGGUUUAAAGGUUGCGCAGCCGGAAGAUCAAGUCAGCGGUAAAAUUGAGGGGCUCAACCUCUUCGAGCCGUUGAAACUGGUUUUCGUGAGUGAGCGAGAAGUAUGCGGAAUGCGUGGUGUAGCGGUGAAAUGCAUAGAUAGCACGCAGAACUCCGAUUGCGAAGGCAGCAUACCGGCGCUCAACUGACGCUCAUGCACGAAAGUGUGGGUAUCGAACAGGAUUAGAUACCCGGGUAGUC
rnacentral:rRNA from 1 species